AUGUUGAGUUCCAGUAUUGAUAAGAAUUCAAGUUCUUAUGUUAUGCAUGGAUGUUGGAUGAGAGACAGGAAUAUACCAAUUAUUAGUUGGGGACUAUUCGGAGUUUUGAGUAUGCUGUGUCUGCCUGUGGCACCGAUGGGCUUCCUGAACUGUGCAUCGGAGCGUCCAACCCCUUUUCACAAUUCCGUGGAGGAAAUGUUAAGUAGAGGGCUUGCUGACAGAAAAAAAAGUAUUUUUGCCUUUGCAUUUUGUGUUCCCCUCCCACAGGAAUCCCGCCGACCAGAUAAACAGAAUUGUUUUAGGUCGAAUCAUUUGCUGUGUGAAGAUAAAUGA
rnacentral:rRNA from 1 species